ensembl:lncRNA
CACAGACAUGGGAAGUGAAUCGGCGGCUCAAGCUGGAGGAGAUAGAGAGAGAGGUGUGCCGGGAACUACGUCUGGAGCGUUCCUCCAAGAUACCAAUCUCCCACAGAAGCGAGGUAAGGGUUUGGAAAGCUCUGAGUAAGUCUUCAAGUCAAUAUAACAAUAAUCGUAAAUUCUCUAUGUCUUUCCUUCGUCUCUUUUACAUUGCAGAUUAUGAAAACUGUGGAGUGGGUCCCACCUCCAGACUCUUAUGGACCAGGUCCACGUGACCUCACUUCCCCAUCAGGAGCAUCAAGUGACGGUUUCUACACAUCUUCUAUGACUUUUGACUCUUUUGACUCAUUGUUCAUGGAGACCCCAGAGGAACAACAUGUGAUGGUGAGCUGUACAAAGAACAAAAUGUCUGUUUAUCCUCCUUAUUCUGCAGUGGCUAUGCACAUGAUUUGUAUGGUUCAUUAUGAUUCUAUUGAAGAUUACAAACAAAAUGCAGAUUAUCUUUGAUGUCAAUGGUCAGUGCUAUACUCCUUCAUAUACAGUAUAUAUAUAUUUUUGGUUUUUUUGUGUUAAGCUUUCUUCGGGGGACAGGAAAGCAAUCUU